GGGUCAAGACACACAAGAAUAAGCUUCUAACUUAAUUCCCCAGCGGUGAAACUCCGUUGAUGACCCU
rnacentral:tRNA from 2 species